AGAGUUUGAUCCUGGCUCAGGAUGAACGCUGGCGGCGUGCCUAAUACAUGCAAGUAGAACGCUGAAGGAGGAGCUUGCUCUUCUGGAUGAGUUGCGAACGGGUGAGUAACGCGUAGGUAACCUGCCUCUUAGCGGGGGAUAACUAUUGGAAACGAUAGCUAAUACCGCAUAAAAGUCGAUAUCGCAUGAUAUUGAUUUGAAAGGUGCAAAUGCAUCACUAAGAGAUGGACCUGCGUUGUAUUAGCUAGUUGGUGAGGUAACGGCUCACCAAGGCGACGAUACAUAGCCGACCUGAGAGGGUGAUCGGCCACACUGGGACUGAGACACGGCCCAGACUCCUACGGGAGGCAGCAGUAGGGAAUCUUCGGCAAUGGGGGCAACCCUGACCGAGCAACGCCGCGUGAGUGAAGAAGGUUUUCGGAUCGUAAAGCUCUGUUGUAAGAGAAGAACGAGUGUGAGAGUGGAAAGUUCACACUGUGACGGUAACUUACCAGAAAGGGACGGCUAACUACGUGCCAGCAGCCGCGGU
rnacentral:rRNA from 1 species